ensembl:lncRNA
AAGCUAAGCAGAAGUUAUUUGGAGAGGAGAGGAUAAUGGCUGCUGAAGAAAGAAUGCCGUUGGUUGAAAAGAGAGUUGCUGUUUUCACCUUACCUCGUGCUCCACCUCUGGACUCAGGAUACCAAGCAAACAUUUUGAAAAUCACUCUGUGCCUCACCUGCCUGCCCUCCUGCCAUCACACUGAAGACCCCGGAUCUCAGGUCAGCCUUGUCACACCACUCAGCCCCCCCGGAUUCUCAUCACCCCCCUCUCAACACUCUAUGUCCCCAACUGCAAUGUGACUGUUCCCUGCUCAGCUCCACUCUGCAUCUCAGGCCCCGUUCCCUCGCCCUAGCCACGCCACGCCACGUCAAACUCCACGUCUUAUUGUUUUUUGUCCUUGCUACGUUUCUUGCACUCCAGCCUAAUAAAUUAUUGUUACAUC